rnacentral:rRNA from 1 species
UACGGGGGGGGCUAGCGUUGUUCGGAAUUACUGGGCGUAAAGCGCGCGUAGGCGGCUUUGUAAGUUAGAGGUGAAAGCCCGGAGCUCAACUUCGGAAUUGCCUUUAAGACUGCAUCGCUUGAAUCAUGGAGAGGUCAGUGGAAUUCCGAGUGUAGAGGUGAAAUUCGUAGAUAUUCGGAAGAACACCAGUGGCGAAGGCGACUGACGGGACAUGUAUUGAGGCUGAGGUGCGAAAGCGUGGGGAGCAAACAGG